rnacentral:rRNA from 1 species
CACGUAGGGGGCAAGCGUUGUCCGGAUUUAUUGGGCGUAAAGAGCUCGUAGGUGGUUCGGUAAGUCGGGUGUUAAACCCCCAGGCUCAACCUGGGGACGCCACUCGAUACUGCUGUGACUUGAGUCCGGAAGAGGAAAGUGGAAUUCCUGGUGUAGCGGUGAAAUGCGCAGAUAUCAGGAAGAACACCAAUGGCGAAAGCAGCUUUCUGGGACGGUACUGACGCUGAGACGCGAAAGCGUGGGGAGCGAACAGG